AGUAUCUAUUAUCUAGAAAAACAAAGAAGGUGAAAGCUAUUGCAUCCAAGGGAAGAGCUAAUUCUUAUUCGGAAAAAGAGGCAAACUAUCUAAAUAAUCAGGGGGUUUUCGAGGCAAUAGCCAAGGAAAUUAAGGUCGUAACUAUUACAAUAAAGUUGGUUACAAGGAUAGAGAUCAAGGGAACUAGAAGAGAAAAAAUGAUAAAAAUGGACUAUAUGUACCUCCUGGAAGCAGAGAUAAUGCUGAAACUAGCUCUGGGAAGAUAUCCAUGAAGGACAUGAUGGGGAAAUUAUUAAAGGGUGUUAAGACUACCAAAUC
rnacentral:lncRNA from 1 species